rnacentral:siRNA from 1 species
CAUAACAUACUGCCAUGAAUGAAU